rnacentral:pre_miRNA from 1 species
GAUUUCAACUUGAAAAAGACAUUAACAACAAAUUGUAUAACUCAUCAAGAUCUAUAACUUUUAUUUUUGUUAUUUCUUCAUCCGACAAAGUGAUAGUAACAUUGUUUAUAAAAUUUACAUUUCUCUCAUUUGGUUUUAUAAACUAUAAGAGAGAUGUAAAUUUUGUGAACAAUAUUACUAUCACUUUGUCGGAUGAAGAAAUGACCAAAAUAAAAGUUGUAUGUCUUGAUGAGUUCUACAACUUUUAUGUUCAUGACUUUUUCAGCUGAAAUU